rnacentral:lncRNA from 1 species
UUCAAUGGGCUCCUCACUCAAUUUUGAUUAUAUAUUGUCUAAUACAUAGAUAAUAACCUCUUUGUGGCUGAAUUGUAUUUUUAUGUUUAUACAGCAAUUAACACAAGUCAACUCUCAUUCAUUAGUCAUUUCAAAGGAUAAAUGAUUAGGCAGCAAUAUGUAAAUGAUGCCCCUUCCUUAAGCAGGUGAGGUGAUUUGUUUUUUUACUAUGUAUUCAUUAAUAUUUGGGGAUGGGGGGAAUUAAAACAAAAAUCAGCUCCACCAUAGUAUAGUCAUAGCAACACAAAUUUAAGGAAACAUAUACCAGAUAUACAUAAAUAUUUCACUUUUAAAAUGAUCUAUGGAGUAUUUGGUUAUUGGCCUCCAUAAAUAAUACCCAGAUAAACUUCAUCUGUAAGUGAAAGGAGAUUUGGAGUCUUAAACUGACAGUAAUAAAAGGGGGCAUGACGACAAAAGGAACACUACUUCUGCUCAUUUUACAGAGGGCCUCACCUGAUUAAGGCAAAAAGAAGGCAGAAAACGGCAGAAGGCAAUUACUGAAGCUUGGGGACGUAAGCAAGCUUUAUCUCGAAGGAUACCCUGUACGCAUUUCAGUGUGCCGAAUGAAAAGGUAAUGUCAGCUGGAAGCUCUCAUUCAGCAAGCAGUCAAGGAAACACUUAUUUUUAGAUUCUUUUCUACACCUGAACAGACAAAGAAUCAGGUUUGGCUGCAAAUGACAGUGUGUUGCUUAAGAAUAAACUGUAUAUGCCUUCAUGCCGGAAAUUAAAA